rnacentral:rRNA from 1 species
AUUCGAUGCAACGCGAAGAACCUUACCCGGGCUUGAAUUGCCAGUGAACGAGAUAGAGAUAUCGAGGCCCUUCGGGGCGCUGGUGAAGGUGCUGCAUGGUUGUCGUCAGCUCGUGCCGUGAGGUGUCGGCUUAAGUGCCAUAACGAGCGCAACCCCUCUCUUCAGUUGCCAUCAGGUUAAGCUGGGCACUCUGGAGACACUGCCACCGUAAGGUGUGAGGAAGGUGGGGAUGACGUCAAAUCAGCACGGCCCUUACGUCCGGGGCUACACACGUGUUACAAUGGCCGGUACAGAGGGAUGGUGUAAUGUAAAUUGCAUCAAAUCUUGAAAGCCGGUCCCAGUUCGGACUGGGGUCUGCAACCCGACCCCACGAAGCUGGAUUCGCUAGUAAUCGCGCAUCAGCCAUGGCGCGGUGAAUACGUUCCCGGGCCUAGUACAC